AUUGAACGCUGGCGGCGGGCCUAACACAUGCAAGUCGAACGAGUGGCGGACGGGUGAGUAACGUCUGGGAAACUGCCUGAUGGAGGGGGAAAACUACUGGAAACGGUAUCUAAUACCGCAUACCAUCGGAUGUGCCCAGAGGGGAUUAGCUAGUAGGUGGGGUAACGGCUCACCUAGGCGACGAUCCCUAGCUGGUCUGAGAGGGUGAACGGCCACACUGGAACUGAGACACGGCCCAGACUCCUACGGGAGGCAGCAGUAGGGAAUAUUGCGCAAUGGGCGCAAGCCUGAUGGAGCAAUGCCGCGUGUGUGAAGAAGGUCUUCGGAUUGUAAAGUACUGUUGGCAGGGAAGCGUUAUCCGAAGAGAAAGCCACGGCUAACUACGUGCCAGCAGCCGCGGUAAUAC
rnacentral:rRNA from 1 species